rnacentral:lncRNA from 1 species
AAAUUUAAGUGAUCAAGAGAAUAAAUAAAUGAAUGAUUCGUAUAACGAUUUACACAAAGACUAAAGGGUUGCGGUCUAACAACACAUGGUCAACCCUGACGCAUUUUUUGCGCUGGUUCCAAGUCAGGAAAAUGUGGCCUCUGUAAUUCUUUGUUUUUUUUAUUUAAGUUAAUUUAUUGUUUUGGAGUUUGGUGUGACGUCCAUUUUCAUUGACUCAGUACAUUUUGUUACGGGCUAGCAGGAGACGACCUCCAGGUGCUGGAUUUUCUCCAUGUGUUGAAAACCCAUGUGUGGCCUUUUUCUACUCUUUGGUCGGGUUGUUGUCACUUGGACAUAUUCGCAACUUCCAUUCUCAAUUUUAAAUUGUGGUUAUACAAUAGAAGUGAACUAAAUUAGGUUGACAGUAUGAAAUGUGCACUUCUGUUAUAAUAUUCGAGCUUUUAGCAGUUUACAUCGAUCGCUGUGGUGACGUUUUGUUUCAAACAGAAACAUUUUAGACCGAGUAAAAUAUGUUUCGAGGUUGUAUAUAGUUAUCAAAGGUACCAG